UGAGGAAUAUUGGUCAAUGGACGAGAGUCUGAACCAGCCAAGUAGCGUGAAGGAUGACUGCCCUAUGGGUUGUAAACUUCUUUUAUACGGGAAUAAAGUGAGGCACGUGUGCCUUUUUGUAUGUACCGUAUGAAUAAGGAUCGGCUAACUCCGUGCCAGCAGCCGCGGUAAUACGGAGGAUCCGAGCGUUAUCCGGAUUUAUUGGGUUUAAAGGGAGCGUAGGCGGACGCUUAAGUCAGUUGUGAAAGUUUGCGGCUCAACCGUAAAAUUGCAGUUGAUACUGGGUGUCUUGAGUACAGUAGAGGCAGGCGGAAUUCGUGGUGUAGCGGUGAAAUGCUUAGAUAUCACGAAGAACUCCGAUUGCGAAGGCAGCUUGCUGGACUGUAACUGACGCUGAUGCUCGAAAGUGUGGGUAUCAAACAGGAUUAGAUACCCUGGUAGUCCACACAGUAAACGAUGAAUACUCGCUGUUUGCGAUAUACAGUAAGCGGCCAAGCGAAAGCGUUAAGUAUUCCACCUGGGGAGUACGCCGGCAACGGUGAAACUCAAAGGAAUUGACGGGGGCCCGCACAAGCGGAGGAACAUGUGGUUUAAUUCGAUGAUACGCGAGGAACCUUACCCGGGCUUAAAUUGCAACUGACGGAACCGGAAACGGUUCUUUCUUCGGACAGUUGUGAAGGUGCUGCAUGGUUGUCGUCAGCUCGUGCCGUGAGGUGUCGGCUUAAGUGCCAUAACGAGCGCAACCCUUAUCGAUAGUUACUAGCAGGUCAUGCUGAGGACUCUAUUGAGACUGCCGUCGUAAGAUGUGAGGAAGGUGGGGAUGACGUCAAAUCAGCACGGCCCUUACGUCCGGGGCUACACACGUGUUACAAUGGGGGGUACAGAAGGCAGCUACACGGCGACGUGGUGCUAAUCCCGAAAGCCUCUCUCAGUUCGGAUUGGAGUCUGCAACCCGACUCCAUGAAGCUGGAUUCGCUAGUAAUCGCGCAUCAGCCACGGCGCGGUGAAUACGUUCCC
rnacentral:rRNA from 1 species